UACGUAGGGGGCAAGCGUUAUCCGGAUUUACUGGGUGUAAAGGGAGCGUAGACGGUGAUGCAAGUCAGAAGUGAAAGCCCGGGGCUCAACUCCGGUUCGGCAUUGGAUACUAUCUAGCUAGAAUGUGGUAGAGGUAAAGGGAAUUCCUGGUGUAGCGGUGAAAUGCGUAGAUAUCAGGAGGAACAUCGGUGGCGAAAGCGCUUUACUGGACCAUUAUUGACGCUGAGGAACGAAAGCCAGGGGAGCAAAUGGG
rnacentral:rRNA from 1 species